UACAGAGGGUGCGAGCGUUAAUCGGAAUUACUGGGCGUAAAGCGCAUGUAGGCGGAUAUCUAAGACGGGUGUGAAAUCCCUGGGCUCAACCUAGGAAUUGCAUUCGAUACUGGAUGUCUUAGAGUAUGGUAGAGGAAAGUGGAAUUCCCGGUGUAGCGGUGAAAUGCAUAGAUAUCGGGAGGAACACCAGUGGCGAAGGCGGCUUUCUGGACCAAUACUGACGCUGAAGUGCGAAAGCGUGGGGAGCAAACAGG
rnacentral:rRNA from 1 species